UACGAAGGGUGCAAGCGUUACUCGGAAUUACUGGGCGUAAAGCGUGCGUAGGUGGUUUGUUAAGUCUGAUGUGAAAGCCCUGGGCUCAACCUGGGAAUUGCAUUGGAUACUGGCAGGCUAGAGUGCGGUAGAGGAUGGCGGAAUUCCUGGUGUAGCGGUGAAAUGCGCAGAUAUCAGGAGGAACACCGAUGGCGAAGGCAGGUCUCUGGGCCACUACUGACGCUGAGAAGCGAAAGCAUGGGGGAGCGAACAGG
rnacentral:rRNA from 1 species